rnacentral:rRNA from 1 species
AUCGAACGCUGGCGGCAGGCCUAACACAUGCAAGUCGAACGAGCGGCGGACGGGUGAGUAAUGUAUGGGGACUGCCCCAUAUAUGGGGAUACCUACUGGAACCGGUGCUUAAUACCGCAUACUAUCGGAUACCCCAUCUGGGAGUAGCUAGUAGGUGGGGUAAAGGGUCACCUCGGCGACGAUCGCUAGCUGGUCUGAGAGGAUGAUAAGCUGCACGGGGACUGAGACACGGCGCGGACGCCUACGGAGGCAGGAGGGGAGAAGAUUGCGCAAUGGGCGCAAGCCUGAUGGAGCGAUGCAGCGUGGAUGAAGAAGGCCUUAGGGUUGUAAAGUAGUUUAAGCGGGGAGGCGUUACCCGCAGAAGAAGCACCGGCUAACUACGUGCCAGCAGCCGCGGUAAUAC